UACGUAGGUGGCGAGCGUUAUCCGGAAUUACUGGGCGUAAAGAGCACGUAGGCGGGAACUUAAGUCAGGUGUGAAAGACCGUGGAUCAACCACGGGGUUGCAUUUGAAACUGGGUUUCUUGAGGGCAGGAGAGGAAAGCAGAAUUCCUGGUGUAGCGGUGAAAUGCGUAGAAAUCAGGAGGAAUACCAGUGGCGAAGGCGGCUUUCUGGACUGACCCUGACGCUGAGGUGCGAAAGCGUGGGUAGCAAACAGGAUUAGAUACCCUGGUAGUCCCUGA
rnacentral:rRNA from 1 species